CAUUCACGGAGAGUUUGAUCCUGGCUCAGGACGAACGCUGGCGGCGUGCUUAACACAUGCAAGUCGAACGAUGAACCGGUUUCGGCCGGGGAUUAGUGGCGAACGGGUGAGUAACACGUGGGCAAUCUGCCCUGCACUC
rnacentral:rRNA from 1 species